GGGUCAGUAGGUUGGUCGUGCCACCGGUACGUACUGGUCUCACUGAUUCCUCCUUCCUGAAGAACCGUAAUGCCAUUAAUUUGGUAUUGCGGGGAAACAGGACUGUUACUUUGAAAAAAUUAGAGUGUUUAAAGCAAGCUAACGCUUGAAUACAUUAGCAUGGAAUAAUGAAAUAGGACGAUCGAUCCUAUUUUGUUGGUUUCUAGGAUUGACGCA
rnacentral:rRNA from 1 species